GGCUGGUCCGAGUGCAGUGGUGUUUACAACUAAUUGAUCACAACCAGUUACAGAUUUCUUUGUUCCUUCUUCACUUUCACUGCUUCACUCGGCUAGCCAGGA
ensembl:misc_RNA Y_RNA Y RNA